UGGGGAAUCUUGCGCAAUGGACGAAAGUCUGACGCAGCCACGCCGCGUGAGUGAAGAAGGCCUUCGGGUUGUAAAGCUCUGUCGGGCGGGACGAAAAGCAUGUGGGUUAAUAGCCCAUGUGCCUGACGGUACCGCCAAAGGAAGCACCGGCUAACUUCGUGCCAGCAGCCGCGGUAAUACGAGGGGUGCAAGCGUUGCUCGGAAUUAUUGGGCGUAAAGGGCAGGUAGGUGGUCUCGUUUGUCUGGGGUGAAAUCCUUGGGCUUAACCCAAGAAGUGCCUCGGAAACGGCGAGACUAGAGUACUGGAGAGGGUCGUGGAAUACCCGGUGUAGCGGUGAAAUGCGUAGAGAUCGGGUGGAACACCAGAGGCGAAGGCGGCGACCUGGACAGUAACUGACAC
rnacentral:rRNA from 1 species